GAUGAACGCUGGCGGCGUGCCUAAUACAUGCAAGUCGAGCGAACGGACGAGAAGCUUGCUUCUCUGAUGUUAGCGGCGGACGGGUGAGUAACACGUGGAUAACCUACCUAUAAGACUGGGAUAACUUCGGGAAACCGGAGCUAAUACCGGAUAAUAUUUUGAACCGCAUGGUUCAAAAGUGAAAGACGGUCUUGCUGUCACUUAUAGAUGGAUCCGCGCUGCAUUAGCUAGUUGGUAAGGUAACGGCUUACCAAGGCAACGAUGCAUAGCCGACCUGAGAGGGUGAUCGGCCACACUGGAACUGAGACACGGUCCAGACUCCUACGGGAGGCAGCAGUAGGGAAUCUUCCGCAAUGGGCGAAAGCCUGACGGAGCAACGCCGCGUGAGUGAUGAAGGUCUUCGGAUCGUAAAACUCUGUUAUUAGGGAAGAACAUAUGUGUAAGUAACUGUGCACAUCUUGACGGUACCUAAUCAGAAAGCCACGGCUAACUACGUGCCAGCAGCCGCGGUAAUACGUAGGUGGCAAGCGUUAUCCCGAAUUUUGGGCGUAAAGCGCGCGUAGGCGGUUUUUUAGUCUGAUGUGAAAGCCCACGGCUCAACCGUGGAGGGUCAUUGGAAACUGGAAAACUUGAGUGCAGAAGAGGAAAGUGGAAUUCCAUGUGUAGCGGUGAAAUGCGCAGAGAUAUGGAGGAACACCAGUGGCGAAGGCGACUUUCUGGUCUGUAACUGACGCUGAUGUGCGAAAGCGUGGGGAUCAAACAGGAUUAGAUACCCUGGUAGUCCACGCCGUAAACGAUGAGUGCUAAGUGUUAGGGGGUUUCCGCCCCUUAGUGCUGCAGCUAACGCAUUAAGCACUCCGCCUGGGGGGUACGACCGCAAGGUUGAAACUCAAAGGAAUUGACGGGGACCCGCACAAGCGGUGGAGCAUGUGGUUUAAUUCGAAGCAACGCGAAGAACCUUACCAAAUCUUGACAUCCUUUGACAACUCUAGAGAUAGAGCCUUCCCCUUCGGGGGACAAAGUGACAGGUGGUGCAUGGUUGUCGUCAGCUCGUGUCGUGAGAUGUUGGGUUAAGUCCCGCAACGAGCGCAACCCUUAAGCUUAGUUGCCAUCAUUAAGUUGGGCACUCUAAGUUGACUGCCGGUGACAAACCGGAGGAAGGUGGGGAUGACGUCAAAUCAUCAUGCCCCUUAUGAUUUGGGCUACACACGUGCUACAAUGGACAAUACAAAGGGCAGCGAAACCGCGAGGUCAAGCAAAUCCCAUAAAGUUGUUCUCAGUUCGGAUUGUAGUCUGCAACUCGACUACAUGAAGCUGGAAUCGCUAGUAAUCGUAGAUCAGCAUGCUACGGUGAAUACGUUCCCGGGUCU
rnacentral:rRNA from 1 species